GUAUCCUGGCUCAGGAUGAACGCUAGCGACAGGCUUAACACAUGCAAGUCGAGGGGCAGCAUGAACUUAGCUUGCUAAGUUUGAUGGCGACCGGCGCGCGGGUGAGUAACGCGUAUGCAACUUGCCUAUCAGAGGAGAAUAGCUCAUCGAAAGAUGAAUUAAUGCUCCAUAAAACAGGGGUUCCGCAUGGGAAUAUUUGUUAAAGAUUCAUCGCUGAUAGAUAGG
rnacentral:rRNA from 1 species